rnacentral:rRNA from 1 species
UAUACGACCGUACCGCAAACCGACACUGGUGCGCGAGAUGAGUAUUCUAAGGCGCUUGAGAGAACUCAGGAGAAGGAACUCGGCAAAUUGACACCGUAACUUCGGAAGAAGGUGUGCCCUAUUAGUGUGUAGUGAACAACGAAGCAUGAAUGGGUUGCAAAAAAUCGGUGGCUGCGACUGUUUAUUAAAAACACAGCACUCUGCAAACACGAAAGUGGACGUAUAGGGUGUGACGCCUGCCCGGUGCUGGAAGAUUAAAUGAUGGGGUGCAAGCUCUUGAUUGAAGUCCCAGUAAACGGCGGCCGUAACAAUAACGGUCCUAAGGUAGCGAAAUUCCUUGUCGGGUAAGUUCCGACCUGCACGAAUGGCGUAACGAUGGCCACACUGUCUCCUCCAGAGACUCAGCGAAGUUGAAAUGUUUGUGAUGAUGCAAUCUCCCCGCGGAAAGACGGAAAGACCCCAUGAACCUUUACUGUAGUUUGUAUUGGACUUUGAACAGAUCUGUGUAGGAUAGGUGGGAGGCUUUGAAGCAGGGUCGCUAGAUCUUGUGGAGCCAACGUUGAAAUACCACCCUGGUGUGUUUGAGGUUCUAACCUAGGUCCAUUAUCUGGAUCGGGGACAGUGCAUGGUAGGCAGUUUGACUGGGGCGGUCUCCUCCCAAAGCGUAACGGAGGAGUUCGAAGGUACGCUAGUUACGGUCGGACAUCGUGACGAUAGUGCAAUGGCAUAAGCGUGCUUAACUGCGAGACUGACAAGUCGAGCAGAUGCGAAAGCAGGACAUAGUGAUCCGGUGGUUCUGUAUGGAAGGGCCAUCGCUCAACGGAUAAAAGGUACUCUGGGGAUAACAGGCUGAUACCGCCCAAGAGUUCAUAUCGACGGCGGUGUUUGGCACCUCGAUGUCGGCUCAUCUCAUCCUGGGGCUGUAGCCGGUCCCAAGGGUAUGGCUGUUCGCCAUUUAAAGAGGUACGUGAGCUGGGUUUAAAACGUCGUGAGACAGUUUUGUCCCUAUCUUCCGUGGGCGCUGCAGAUUUGAGGAAGCCUGCUCCUAGUACGAGAGGACCGGAGUGGACACACCUCUGGUGUAUCGGUUGUCACGCCAGUGGCAUUGCCGAGUAGCUAAGUGUGGAAGAGAUAACCGCUGAAAGCAUCUAAGCGGGAAACUCGUUUCAAGAUGAGAUCUGCCGGGGCCUUGAGCCCCCUAAAGAGUCGUUCAAGACCAGGACGUUGAUAGGUCAGGUGUGGAAGC